rnacentral:pre_miRNA from 1 species
AGGGCGAUAGCUGGGUCAAAUGGUGGAUCCAUUCUCAGGAAUCUCCAUACUGCUUUCCAAAUUGGCCUCACCAAUUUGCAGACCCACCAGCAGU